ACUUAAAUACACUGAAAAUGUUUUGUGUUUUUUCUUGCAAUGUCAAUUUAAAAGGUAAGAUACUCAUUUCACAGCUUUUGUUGGCAGCUGUGAGAGGGCUUUCCUAUUCCUCAGAAGGGGGUUUGUAUCCUGCCAGCAUCUUUAAGGAGUGUGGCAGGAGAGCCAGGUGUGCUGUAGGACAUGGAGAAGCUAAUAAAUGUGGGCUGUUGCACAAAGGUUACAAAUAGGCUGCAGGGGGGCUGAGAAACAGCAGGUUUCAUGUGCUCUAAUCCUAGCUGGGCUAUGAGGAGGAGAAAGUCAUCACUGGUCACCUCUUCACAUUACUGGAUAAAAGCCAAGAUGGUAUUUACUGGGGGUAGCAGCUGGAGAUGAGGCUGGGAGGGUUGCAGCUUGAAAUCAGAUUGCUGUGCUGCUCCCCCUUGCCCAGAGGAGCACUGAGCAUAAUCAGGUGCUUGUUAGUGGGAUUAUCUCCUCUGAGGUGUCAGAGCAGUUGAAACAGCUGAUUGGUUGGAGGAGUGGGUCCUCCUGCCUAAGGAUGGACUAAACCUACUGGUGUCCCCAGAGAAGCUGCCAUUCAGCAGAUGAGUAUUGGUCUGGGGCUAUACUGGCACUUUACAGCAUGGAGAGGGCUUUAUCUAAAUGAAAAUGUACUUCUUAAAACCACGCUGAAGGAAAAUAAUUGCUUUGAUCACUUGGUAAAUAUCUGAAGUUGCGAGAACUUAAUCUAGGUGGAGUAAGUCCUAAAGGAUCCUGUUUGUAUGCUGCCUGACCUGGUGUUUAGAGAUCUCCAGACCUGAGGACUGCUUCCACUCUGCCCUGGGAAAGGCUUCUGUAAGCAGUGUUCUAUCACAGGACAUGGAUUCACCUGUCAGCAUCAUGUUUAGGAGGGAUUACUUUGUCGCUGCAUUGGCACUGCUGGAGGAGCUGUGCUCCUCAUCAGCACAUCUGCCUGUGGGAAAGGGAGUGCUCUGUUCCUCCACUGUAAGCAGAUUAAUGUACUUGGUUUAACAACCUGCUUGCGAUUGAACUAUUAAUAUUUUUUGUUUCCUACUGUUAGUUUUUCAGUUUGGAUGCACUUUUAUCAGCAAAGCCCGGGUGUUGUGCAGAAGCAUUCAGGAGGAAUAUAAGCAAGGUCAUGAGGUCUUUGAGUGUGCCUUUAGAGGAAUUAAAGCUGAACUGAGCCCCGUAAGAGGAAAGCAAAGUUGAGAAUGUGUAUAAUUCAGCACGCUUUUCCAAGAACAAGAUCUUCUGAACAGCAGACAACAAAAGCUACAGAAGUAGCUACGUUGCUCUGCAGGGAGGAUGUGACACUGCUGUUUUCUCAUUGUGCAAAGCAAACAAUGACUGCUGCAUAUCAGGCCCUCUGGUGCAGCCCCAUUGUUUGCUGCUAUUCUUGGUGUCCCUCAACCACCUCUGCCCGGUACAGGGAGCUCAGCUUCGUCCUCUGGCUGGGUCUCUUUACAUAGAAAGCCCUGCAGCUGAUAAGGGCAGCUUUGUCUCUGCCUGUUACCAUAGGGUACGUUAGUCUGUGAGAAAAAGUUUGGAUUUUUCAGUGCAGAGGUUCUCAUGGGCUGGGAUUUUGGAAGCCAUUGUAGCCAUCUUUGUAUAAGAUAUAUGUUGCUGCCUAUAGCUGGCUCUCCUCAUCUGAUGUCAUGGGAGCAUUGCAAUGUUUUGACCAUUUUUCUUUAUUAAUUAAUUGAAGAGAUGUAUCUUCUAAAGUA